UACGUAGGGUGCGAGCGUUGUCCGGAAUUAUUGGGCGUAAAGAGCUCGUAGGCGGCUUGUCGCGUCGAAUGUGAAAACUCGGGGCUCAACCCCGCGCUUGCAUUCGAUACGGGCAGGCUCGAGUUCGGUAGGGGAGACUGGAAUUCCUGGUGUAGCGGUGAAAUGCGCAGAUAUCAGGAGGAACACCGGUGGCGAAGGCGGGUCUCUGGGCCGAUGACUGACGCUGAGGAGCGAAAGCGUGGGGAGCGAACAGG
rnacentral:rRNA from 1 species